rnacentral:rRNA from 1 species
AGGGUUUGAUUCUGGCUCAGGACGAACGCUGGCGGCGUGCCUAACACAUGCAAGUCGGACGGAGGAUUAAGCUUCGGUUUAAUCCUUAGUGGCGAACGGGUGAGUAACGCGUAGGCAACCUGCCCUUUAGACGGGGACAACAUUCCGAAAGGGAUGCUAAUACCGGAUGUGACAAAGCUGACGCAUGUUGGUUUUGUGAAAGAUGGCCUCUACAUGUAAGCUAUCGCUAAAGGAUGGGCCUGCGUCUGAUUAGCUGGUUGGUGGUGUAACGGACUACCAAGGCGAUGAUCAGUAGCCGGUCUGAGAGGAUGAACGGCCACAUUGGGACUGAGACACGGCCCAG